rnacentral:rRNA from 1 species
UAACUAGGAUUCCCUUAGUAACGGCGAGUGAACCGGGAUGAGCUCAAAUUUGAAAUCUGGCGUCUUUCAGGCGUCCGAGUUGUAAUCUAUAGAGGCGUUUUCCGCGCCGGACCGCGUCCAAGUCUCUUGGAAUAGAGUAUCAAAGAGGGUGACAAUCCCGUACUUGACGCGACAACCGGUGCUCUGUGAUACGUUCUCAACGAGUCGAGUUGUUUGGGAAUGCAGCUCUAAAUGGGUGGUAAAUUCCAUCUAAGGCUAAAUAUUGGCGAGAGACCGAUAGCGAACAAGUACCGUGAGGGAAAGAUGAAAAGCACUUUGGAAAGAGAGUUAAACAGCACGUGAAAUUGUUAAAAGGGAAACGAUUGAAGUCAGUCGUGUGAAAGGUAUUCAGCCGUCUCUGGCGGUGUAUUUGCCUUUCACGGGUCAACAUCAGUUUAGUCCGGUAGAAAAAGGCUGGAGGAAGGUGGCACCCUCGGGUGUGUUAUAGCCUCCUGUCACAUGUGCCGGAUUAGACUGAGGAACGCAGCUUGCCGCAAGGCCGGGGUUCGCCCACGUACAAGCUUAGGAUGUUGACAUAAU